UCUCUGAUAGUGUAUUGGCUAGUACACCCGCCUGUCAUACCGAAUCAUUUUCCAGUGUUAGCAAUGUGCGCGGGAGAGCUGGGUUCAAUUCCCAGUCAGAGAG
rfam:Fistulina hepatica ATCC 64428 unplaced genomic scaffold FISHEscaffold_482, whole genome shotgun sequence.